rnacentral:rRNA from 1 species
AGAACGAACGCUGGCGGCAUGCCUAACACAUGCAAGUCGAACGAGACCUUUCGGGGUCUAGUGGCGCACGGGUGCGUAACGCGUGGGAAUCUGCCCCUUGGUUCGGAAUAACAGUUAGAAAUGACUGCUAAUACCGGAUGACGACGUAAGUCCAAAGAUUUAUCGCCGAGGGAUGAGCCCGCGUAGGAUUAGCUAGUUGGUGAGGUAACGGCUCACCAAGGCGACGAUCCUUAGCUGGUCUGAGAGGAUGAUCAGCCACACUGGGACUGAGACACGGCCCAGACUCCUACGGGAGGCAGCAGUGGGGAAUAUUGGACAAUGGGCGAAAGCCUGAUCCAGCAAUGCCGCGUGAGUGAUGAAGGCCUUAGGGUUGUAAGCUCUUUUACCAGGGAUGAUAAUGACAGUACCUGGAGAAUAGCUCCGGCUAACUCCGCGCCAGCAGCCGC